AUCGCUUCUCGGCCUUUUGGCUAAGAUCAAGUGUAGUAACAUGUUAGCUCUAGUAUUUCUGUUUAGUUUUUGUCAGGAUGACCUGUCCAUUGGUGACAGUGGGAUAUUGAAAUCUUCCACUAUCAGUAUAGGAGGGUCAAUGUGUGAUUC
rnacentral:snRNA from 1 species